ACUCGCCUCCAAAGGCGCGAACCCAGCAAAUCAAACAGCGUUCCCGUCUUUCACGUUUUCAUACCCCUCUUUCUCUCUCUCUUCUUCUCUCGCUCUCGCGGCGCAAGCAGCGAAGCAAGAAGCCAAGUGGCACGCGCUCACUUGGCCCACUCGCGCGCGUCGAAAUUAUCGACCCUUUCCCCCUCUCCACUGUUGCCAUCUCCCUCCCCCCUUUCUCGCCCUUGUCGCAUCCUUCCUCUCUCUUGCUUUAUCGCGCGGUAUUGAUUCGAUUCUUGAGCGGUUCGGUUCUUUCACGCAUUUCAUCGAACACCUUGUUGUUGUUGUUAUUAUUGUUGUUGUUGUUGUUGUUGUUGGUGGUGGUGGUGGUGGUGGUGGUAUCUUGAUGAUGCUGCGGUUUUUGGUAUGAUGGAGUUCUUAUGACCUGUCUAGGGCUUGGUUUUUGGGAUUUGAGAUGAAUGGGACGGGAGAAGAGACCGGGUUCGAGGUGGCGAUUGUGGUGCCGAAGAAAAGGGACAAAGAGAAGGAUGAAAACUGCGAUUGUGUUGAGUUUCUUGUUGAUGAGUUGACGAAGGCGGGGUUGAUUGUUGAGAGGGUGAAUGGGAUCUCGGAUGAGUUUCUCAAGCUGGCAGCGCCAUUGGAGACUUUGGGAAGAGCUGCUUAUGAGUUGCAAAUGAAGAAGUUGACCUAUAUUGGAAUGGAUUUGCAAUUUGAAUGGGAUCAAGUGACAGCAUUUGUGAGGCAACCUGAUGGAUCUUUGUUCAGCUGGUUGGAACGUUAUAACUGUUUUCGACAUCUGAUUUAUGGAAUUGUAAAUGAGACAGAAUCAGAAUUGAUCUUGAAGUUUGAUGGUGAUGAGUUUGCUUUGCAAAGAAAUGAAUCAUUAGUCGAAAGGAUGGAGGUUGAAGGCAUUGUCAAGCAAGUCUUUCCGACACAUGAGGAAGUUACACGGAAGAGACUCUUGAGGAUUUGGGCUCUUAACUGGUUGGGAUUUACUGAACAACCGAUUGAUGAAGUUUAUUCAUAUUUUGGGAUAAAGAUAGCAACAUAUUUUGCUUUUCUUGGAAUGUACACCAAAUGGCUGGUUUUUCCGGCUGUUCUUGGACUUGCUGUGCAGUUGCUUGAUUUUGGAUCAAUGCAGUUGCUUGUCCUUCCGUCUUUCUUCAUAGUCAUUAUUUCAUGGGCUGUGCUUUUAUUCCAAUUCUGGAAGCGCAAGAACUCUGCUCUUUUGGCGAGAUGGGAGAUCAACUAUUCAUUAACAGACUAUAGAGCUAUAAACAUGGAAAUGGCUUCUUUUAAGCAGUCUCAUGAACAACUCCAAGAGAACAUGGAUGCUGAUAAGCCAACAGAGAAAAGGGCAUUGCAAAAAGAUGAGUGGUUUGGUCUUCUGUUAAGAAUAAGGAAUAACGCAAUCAUUGUCAUGGCAAUUAUUUGCCUCCAGCUGCCAUUUGAAUUGGCUUAUGCUCAUCUGUAUGAGAUCAUUGAGUCUGAUGUUCUUAAGUAUGCAGUAACAGCUCUUUAUCUUUUGGCCAUUCAGUACUACACUAAGCUUGGAGGCAAAGUGUCUGUUAUUCUUAUAAAGUAUGAAAAUAAUCAAGGAGAAGAGUCUAGUGCUGAUAGUCUGGUGUACAAGGUGUUUGGCCUGUAUUUUAUGCAAACAUAUAUUGGUUUGUUUUAUCAUGCCCUUUUGCAUCGAAAUUUUACAACUCUUCGUCAAGUUAUCAUUCAGCGAUUGAUUGUUUCACAGAUUCUUGAAAAUUUGGUGGAGAACUCAAUCCCUUACCUUCAGUACAGCUAUAAGAAGUACAAAGCAAUACGGAAGAAAAAGUGUGACAAAAGAUCAGCUGGAGCAAAAUCACCGCAGUUUGCUUCUAGAGUGGAAAAGGAGUAUCUGAAGCCCUCAUAUACUGCAAGUAUUGGAGAGGAGCUUGAAGAUGGUCUAUUUGAUGAUUUCCUUGAGUUGGCUUUGCAGUUUGGGAUGAUUAUGAUGUUUGCAUGUGCAUUCCCUCUCAUAUUCUGCUUUGCUGCUUUGAACAAUAUCACUGAGAUCAGAACUGAUGCACUGAAGCUACUUGUCAUGCUUAAGAGGCCUGUUCCUCGUGCUUCUGCAACUAUAGGAGCUUGGUUGAACAUAUUUCAGUUUCUAAUUGUAAUGUCUAUAUGCACCAACUGCAUACUACUGGUUUGCUUGUACGACCAAGAGGGGAACUGGAGGAUCGAGCCUGGCCUUGCAGGCAUCCUCAUAAUGGAACACAUCCUUCUCCUUAUCAAAUUUGGCUUCUCUCGAUGUGUGCCUGAGGAACCUGCUUGGGUGAGAUUAAGCCGUGUUAAAAGUGCAGUACAGGCUCGAGAUGUAUGCUCUAAACAACUACUAAAGAGCCUUUCACAGAGAAAGAUCGACUGAUGAAAGUUUCCUGUAAUCACACCAUUUUUCUACAGUUGUGUCUUUUACUUUUUUAAUGAGGCAUAGAAUACAAAGGCAGGGCGAGUUUUUGUUAGAUAGAAUGCAUGCUAACUAGGAUGUUUUCCUUGUGGCUUCUGUGAGAGUUUAGGAUUACACCAAACUGUAAGUAAAUUCUGAUUUUCUUGAUCAUCUGGUUUUGAGAUUCAUACCAUAUCCACUUGCAUCAUAUGAUCGCCAAUUUCUGCAGUGAAUGACCAAGCUGAAAGCAUAACAACAAAUGAAGCAACAACAGAUUGAAACUAAAGAACUUCAUUGUCAGUCUCGGCAACGAAAGCUUCAAGUAUCAGAUCUUGUCUCUGAUCUUCUGCUGGAGCCGAAGCUUCCACUGAUUUGACGAGCAUAUU